AUGCCUGUAGCGCAAUGGAUAGCGCGUUGGACAUAUAACUCAAAGGUCGUGGGUUUGAAUCCCACCUGGGAUG